rnacentral:rRNA from 1 species
AAUGAACGCUAGCGGGAGGCCUAACACAUGCAAGCCGAGCGGUAUUGUUUCUUCGGAAAUGAGAGAGCGGCGUACGGGUGCGUAACACGUGUGCAACCUGCCUUUAUCUGGGGGAUAGCCUUGCGAAAGGAAGAUUAAUACUCCAUAAUAUAUUGAACGGCAUCGUUUAAUAUUGAAAGCACCGGCGGAUAGAGAUGGGCACGCGCAAGAUUAGCUAGUUGGUGAGGUAACGGCUCACCAAGGCGAUGAUCUUUAGGGGGCCUGAGAGGGUGAGCCCCCACACUGGUACUGAGACACGGACCAGACUCCUACGGGAGGCAGCAGUGAGGAAUAUUGGUCAAUGGGUGCAAGCCUGAACCAGCCAUCCCGCGUGAAGGACGACUGCCCUAUGGGUUGUAAACUUCUUUUGUAUAGGGAUAAACCUACCCUCGUGAGGGUAGCUGAAGGUACUAUACGAAUAAGCACCGGCUAACUCCGUGCCAGCCGCCGCAGUAA